GGUGGGUAUGGUUGUCCUGCGAGAGAACGUUCUGUGCUGGUGAUUUGGUCCUGAUUCUGUGCUGGUGGGUUUGUUUACAUUGUAUCAGAACGGCAAUAAAACGACUGUUUUGUUGCUUAAUUUUUUGCUCUGAUGCGUCAUAAGUACCAUGCAAAGUAUAUUACAACAAUAUUAUAUUGCAAAAGUCGUGCAAGUUCGUUAAAUGGAAUUGUCCUGACGCUGUGCUGGUGAUAAGAAAAACGGUCCUGGUUCUGUGCUCCUAUGUCCUGGUUCUGUGCCUUUAUAUUUUAGUUAAAAGUGGCAUAUAUUCAAGAUCAUUGAUGCUGUACUGUUAUUGACUAAUUGAUUGUUG
rnacentral:lncRNA from 1 species